UAAUACGGAGGGUGCAAGCGUUAUCCGGAUUUAUUGGGUUUAAAGGGUCCGUAGGCGGAUCUGUAAGUCAGUGGUGAAAUCUCAUAGCUUAACUAUGAAACUGCCAUUGAUACUGCAGGUCUUGAGUAAAGUAGAAGUGGCUGGAAUAAGUAGUGUAGCGGUGAAAUGCAUAGAUAUUACUUAGAACACCAAUUGCGAAGGCAGGUCACUAUGUUUUAACUGACGCUGAUGGACGAAAGCGUGGGGAGCGAACAGGAUUAGAUACCCUGGUAGUCCACGCCGUAAACGAUGCUAACUCGUUUUUGGGAUUUAGGUUUCAGAGACUAAGCGAAAGUGAUAAGUUAGCCACCUGGGGAGUACGUUCGCAAGAAUGAAACUCAAAGGAAUUGACGGGGGCCCGCACAAGCGGUGGAUUAUGUGGUUUAAUUCGAUGAUACGCGAGGAACCUUACCAAGGCUUAAAUGGGAAUUGACAGGUUUAGAAAUAGACUUUUCUUCGGACAAUUUUCAAGGUGCUGCAUGGUUGUCGUCAGCUCGUGCCCGUGAGGUGGUAGGUUAAGUCCUGCAACGAGCGCAACCCCUGUCACUAGUUGCCAUCAUUAAGUUGGGGGACUUUAGUGAGACUGCCUACGCAAGUAA
rnacentral:rRNA from 1 species